GAGGAUGCUAGGUUACUGCAUUCUACAAAUAUUUUUGUGGUUAAUUGUAAUAACCCAAAAUUUUAGGCUAGAAUGUAAAUCGUCCAUUCCUACAUGUAAGGUCCUGAAACCCAAUGACUCCUAUGUAAAUAUGAGUAUUAUUAUCAAUGAUGUAGUAUGGGAGUAUAGUUGUACAUGAAUUAGGAUCAUAGAGCUCCGUUAACUCAAAGACGAGGUAAAAUCUUUC
rnacentral:lncRNA from 1 species